GAGGGACGCGUGCAGCGCCCCCUGGCGGUCUCGCAGGAGCUCCUCCCGGCGUUUGGGCCGCGGGUUCGAGUCCCGCGCCGUCCGCUUGCGGUGGCCGCCAUGUCGUUUUCCGACCCCCGGAGCGCCCCGCGGCUGCCCAGCGGCUUCGAGGAGGUGCUGCAGGGGAUGGCCCGGGAGGUGCUGAGGGCGCAGCCCGACGACGUGCUGGGCUUCAUCACCCGCUACUUCCAGGCGCUGCUGGCUGAGAGGGAGCAGAGCUCCGCUGCCCAAAGGGCGGAGGACGGGGCGGCUGAGGGUGAGGAGGCCGAGGCGGGGCUGUUGGAGGCCGAUGCGGCGCGGAGCAGCGGUGCUGUGGGCGGCGCGGUGAUGGAGCGCCAGCGCAGCCUUCGUGAUGAAGACCCGAGCGCUGCUUUCCUGACCUCUCAAGAAGAAGCUGCUACCAAAAUCCAGGCCGCGUUCCGGGGCUACUGCACGCGGAGGGGGCUGCGCAGAGCCUUCUCGGAGCCCUCCCACGCCUGCCCGGCGUUGGGCCCCCCGGGCACCCCAUAACCGGGGCGGCUCCGCCGGGACGCAGCCUGAGCGGGCGCCUCCUCCCCCGUUCGGAAACAUCCUGACCCAAAAUGAGGAGCCGCGAUGGAAAAACCUACAUUUCCCUUCCAGGCGGUCUCGCGGGGCAGAAAAUCAUCUCCCACGGUGCCGCCGAGGCACUUGUAUAAUGAGAACUUAAUAAAGUGCCUCCAGUAACGC
rnacentral:lncRNA from 7 species